CAGACUCUCUCUACCUCUGGAGGUGGAAUAUCAGGAUACAAACACAUACAGAUGUGUCAUCAACAAUCACAUCACGAACCACACACAACAUCUCAACAUCAAUCAACUCUGCCGGACACAUUCAGAAUCUAAACCGGCUUGCAUAGUUUUAGCAUUAAUACUGUUUGUUCUGGUUCUCAUAUGUGGGAUAUGUUUCUACUGGAAAACAAGGCGAAGUAGGGCCCCUGUUGAGCAAGACAAUAGCGACUGCACCAAGGAACAAAAAAAUUCCAUAAUUUGUUAACAAAGAAGAAAACAGUCUGUUAUUGAUGCUGAUGAAGAUUUCUUGGAUGAUAUGGAAAUUUGAAGAAUGCAUAUUUUAUUUAAAUAGAAUUUGUAACAUAUGUCUGUAUGCUUUAAUGCAUCCUGAAAAAAUUAAAGUGUCUGUUUUUUUCCAAACUGCUCAUAAUGAGAUUUGACAGGUUUGAAUGUUAGUAGGCUAUCAUUUAUACCACAAAUGACCAGCGCUAUAAUAGAGAGAGAUUAGUGCAUUCAGUUCUUGUGACUAAAAUGUGAAAUUCCAGUAAAGGUGGAUUCGUAUAGGUAAAUUUUUGUAUUCAGGUCCUUUUUUGCUGAA